AACAAAAUGGGGAGCAGCUCAAGGGGUAGAUCUGGAUGAAAACUAAUGGCCUGCUCAUGAUGGCAUGCAUGAUGCUUCAGAGCGCUCUGACUGAGCUAGCCAGGUAGCAAACAGUGCUUCUGGAGAGAGCUCAGCUUGUGACUCGGGAAGAAGAGUGGUCUGGGGAAGAGGAGAUCUGGCAUCUUUCUUGACUGAGUGCAUUUUCCUUGGUAACGAUCUUUUUCACUGAAAGUAGCAACAUUAUUAUUAUCUCUCUAUGGAGUCAAUAGGCAACAAAUGAAAGCCUGUCUGACUUCAGAAAUGAAAAUUGAUUCCUUCAAUUUGAGGCAGCUUGUGUUCUCCCCAUCCUCCUUGGAACCUGAACACGCAGAAACCUCAGCCAAAAUUAAGAUGAUUCUGAGAC